UGCCAGCCGCCGCGGUAAUACGGAGAGUGCAAGCGUUGUUCGGAAUUACUGGGCUUAAAGAGCAUGUAGGCGGGACGACAAGUGUCGGGUGAAAGCCCCGGGCUCAACUCGGGAAUUGCCCGGCAAACUGUCGUUCUUGAGGCAGGUAGAGGUGACCGGAACAACUGGUGGAGCGGUGAAAUGCGUAGAUAUCAGUUGGAACGCCGGCGGCGAAAGCGGGUCACUGGACCUGUCCUGACGCUGAGAUGCGAAAGCGUGGGUAGCGAACGGGAUUAGAUA
rnacentral:rRNA from 1 species